GUGUUGUCUGGACACAUGUAGGACUAUGUUAAAGGUGAGUGUUGUUUGGAAACAUGUAGGACUAUGUUAAAGGCGAGUGUUGUUUGGACAUAUGUAGGACUAUGUUAAAGGCGAGCGCUGCUUGGACAUAUGUAGGACUAUGUUAAAGGUGACUGUUGUUUGGACACAUGUAGGACUAUGUUAAAGGUGAGUGUUGUCUGGACACAUGUAGGACUAUGUUAAAGGUGAGUGUUGUCUGGACACAUGUAGGACUAUGUUAAAGGUGAGUGUUGUUUGGAAACAUGUAGGACUAUGUUAAAGGCGAGUGUUGUUUGGACAUAUGUAGGACUAUGUUAAAGGCGAGCGCUGCUUGGACACAUGUAGGACUAUGAUAAAGGUGAGUGCUGCUUGGACACAUGUAGGACUAUGUUAAAGGUGAGUGCUGUUUGGACACAUGUAGGACUAUGUUAAAGGUGAGUGUUGUUUGGAC
ensembl:lncRNA